GCCGCCACCGGCUGCUGGACUUGCUCUCUUAAGGCCCUUCUGCCGCCGGCACCGUCACUGCUGCCGCCGCCGCUGCCUCCGUUCCCGAUGCUGCCGUACAUAAGCAACAAGCUCGUGCACAUGGUGGCUGGCGAAGGGAGCGCACACACCCCUCGGUGAAGCGGCUCGCAGGCUGUGGAAGUUUGGACUUCUUCUGGAAGGGCUGGAGGGAUUGUUUCUUUUUUAAAUAUAUAUUUAUAUAUAUAUUUCCCUAUAAAUUCGAAAUAAAAGGGAGCUGAGGGACUGCGGAGAAGAAGGUCGGUCGUUCUCUCGUCUCGUUUUUGCAAUUAGGGGCGGAAAGACCCCGCGCGCCUAUGUUUAUUAGCCUUUUUUUGCAAGUUCCAAAGCAAAACGCGAAAAGUGCACUUGGAGCUUGCAACGCGUCGUCCUCUCUCCUCCCUUUUUACUCCCGUCGAUUCUUUGCCCCCUUUUCUCCUCCCCCCCCCACCUCAUCCACACCCCUCUCGGGCUCGGCCACCUUUUCCUCUGGCAUCCCCGCCGACCUCUCAAUUUUGGCUUUGCUUUUGGAAUGUAUAGAUUUGCAACCCGCCUUCUCUCUCCAAAAUUAAGGCGUGAAUAUAUAACAAAUGUACAUAUAUAGCCUUAAAUGGUUAGGUGGAAAAUCUAUUUGUGGUUAAAUGGUUAGGUGGAAGAUCCAUUUGGUCUGCUCGAAAGACCAAAAUCGUAUCCUCGCCACUUUUAGGAUUACCGAGGGCGACCCACAUCCCUGCAUUUCAAGCCGGACUCUUCUUCCCCGCCAGCCCUACAGACCCCGACGCUGCGCUGCCCCCGCUUCCCAAAGAAAGGCAGGUGCCGGAAAGUUAUUCGCCUCUUCCUGCGGGUUUUGCCAAAUGCCCAUCGGCAGCACACCCACCAGCCCCGGCUAAAAUCACAAAUCCAGCCUGCCGGAGAGUCUCCGAGAACGCCCGCCAGUUCCCACGCCGAAUCUCACGGUCUCGUUUCAAGUCCUCGCGGCGAUCUGGGAUCCACGGACUUACCAUCAACGUCUUCAUUUUUGUACUCCCCCCGUCCUUUAUACCGCGAUCUCAGGCUCGAACAUCUGAAAUCACUUUUUCUCCUACGGCUUCCAUGGCAAAGGAACCGGCGACAUAGUUUCUGGCGGGAACAGCGAGCGAAAAUCCAGAGCCGCGGCGAGGAUCGACCCAACCUUGAGCCGGCGAGAGAAAGCGCGGCUCUUGCAGAGAUUAGAGGCAGAAUUAAAACUGGACCCUUUUAGAGACUCCCAGUGAUCUGCACAAGUACCGCCUGACGAGGCUUUCUGGGUCCUAAACCACACCUUUUCCUAUGCCUUCUCCCACUGAAUUUCAGUUUGUUGUAGAAAUUAGCAGCUUUCCAUUGGGUUUGUUCCUAGCUACCAGUCUGAAAAAAAAAAACCCCUCACUUUAUCAAAGCAGGAAUCUGGUGCUAUAAAGGAGAAAUGUCCUUUGGGGUGGAGACACCAUCCAAGCAGCCCCAGAUAGCAAAAGCUGUAGGUCUGGGUAGGGGUGGGGGGUUCUACAAUUUCUUAUUUAAUCAGUAGGCAAUUUUGUAAUCAUCAGCAAUGACAUGCUUUCAAAACACAGCAGUAGUAUUUGUAAAAUCCUGUUUUAAAGAAAAUGUUCUAAUUAUAUUAUUUCCCUCUUUCCUAUAAAAGUUUCUUGGCACUAGUAACCAUCCCUCAAGAUUUAUAUUUGAACUAUAAUAACUUGCUUACCACAUUAAAACAUUAAAGUCGCCUUGGUUGUUAUUUACGAGGUUGCUCUAACAUCUUUCUAAACACUAAAAUAAACAUUUGAAAUAUU